CACGUAGGGCGCAAGCGUUGUCCGGAAUUAUUGGGCGUAAGGAGCUCGUAGGCGGUCUGUUGCGUCCGCUGUGAAAACUCGGGGCUUAACCCCGAGCCUGCUUCUGAUACGGGCAGACUAGAGGUAUGCAGGGGAGAACGGAAUUCCUGGUGUAGCGGUGAAAUGCGCAGAUAUCAGGAGGAACACCGGUGGCGAAGGCGGAUCUCUGGGCCUUGCCUGACGCUGAGGCGCGAAAGCUAGGGGAGCGAACAGG
rnacentral:rRNA from 1 species